rnacentral:lncRNA from 1 species
CCCCCUGGAUGUGCCCUCACGUUAUGAAUUCUCGAACAAUUUGGUUGUCUAGACAUGCAACAAAAAAAUUUCUUUCUGAUAACUGCCUAGUGGUCCAUGAUCCACAUCUUUGUGCCUUUCGGGCUAAGAUGGAGGAAACGUCAUCCUCCUUUAUUGGUCUUCCGAAAGUUUCAACGUAGGCUGCACGAUCAAGAUAGAAUAAAAUGCAGUUCAUCACACUAGUGAAUGGAAGAAAUAUCUUAGUGACAUGC